rnacentral:rRNA from 1 species
CCUACGGGUGGCAGCAGUGGGGAAUAUUGCACAAUGGGGGAAACCCUGAUGCAGCGACGCCGCGUGAGUGAAGCAGUAUUUCGGUAUGUAAAGCUCUAUCAGCAGGGAAGAAAAUGACGGUACCUGUUUAAGAAGCCCCGGCUAACUACGUGCCAGCAGCCGCGGUAAUACGUCGGGGGCGAGCGUUAUACGGAUUUACUGGGUGUAAAGGGAGCGUAGACGGUGCAGCGAGUCUGAUGUGAAAGGUCGGGGCCCAACCCCGGGACUGCAUUGGAAACUGGUGAACUGGAGUACAGGAGAGGUAAGCGGAAUUCCUGGUGUAGCGGUGAAAUGCGUAGAUAUCAGGAGGAACACCAGUGGCGAAGGCGGCUUACUGGACUAUAACUGACGCUGAGGCUCGAAAGCGUGGGGAGCAAACAGGAUUAGAUACCCCGGUAGUC